rnacentral:lncRNA from 10 species
UGCAGACAACAUAGCAAGAUCUGUCAUUGUUGACUAACCAACAUGUCCUAUCCAUUCAGUUAAUACUAGUGAUGCCCAAAUGAGUGAGGUUCUUGCCAACUUUGUACCCUGCCACCUUCUCUUUCUAGGUUGAAUGAGACAAAAAAUUUCAAGGGUUCUUCAGGGAAAGGAAAAGCAUCAGAAGCUGAAAGGAUUCAGAAUGCACCUUUCACCAGAGCGUGAAGUAUAAACAAAUUCUAGAUCCAGUUCCUAGGAAGACUCAUUGCUGAGACAAAAAGCCUGGCAACUUCCCAAUUUGCAAUUGGGUAUAAAAAUAGCAGAGUUUCUAUUUCAGAUGAUCUGUUUCUCCCCAGGAUUCUUAAGGACAAGGAGCCACUGAAUGGACAUUUUGAUGUUUCAUUCUUUCCUUUGGAAUAUCUGUGAUGGCAAAACCUGUGAAGGCUGUUUGGAUUCUGUUUUGCUUCAGCGGCCGUGCUCUGCAAAUAAGAAAACUGAGACACAAAGAUACCAAGUAACUUGCUCAAGGACACAAGAGGAAAAAAAGGGGGGCUGGCAUGUGCAGUGGCUCACACCUGUAAUCCCAGCACUUUGGGAAGCCAAGGCAGGAGGACCAUCCAGGAGUUCAAGACCAGCCUGAGCAAUAUGGUGAAACCCCAUCUCUACAAAAAAUAGAAAAAUUAGCCUGGUAUGGUGGCACGCAUCUGUAGUCCCAGCCACUUGGGAGGCUGAGGUGGGAGAAUAUCUUGAGCAUGGGAGGUUGAGGCUGCAGUGAGCUGUCGUUGUGCCACUGCACUACAGCCUGGGUGACAGGGCAAGACCGUGUGUCAACAAAACAAAACGAAACUUGGAGAAACUGGGAUUUAAACCCGGGCAUUGAGGUUCCAGAACCCAACCUCUUAACCACUAUGUUAUAUAUUGAUUCACAACUGCCUUGAAAAUACAGGAACACGUAGUAUCUCAUAGGUCAUGCCAGAAAAUGAUGUAGUCCUCAGCCUUGACCUGUCAAACUAGAAGCUGACAUAAAGCUAUUCAAGCAAGUGCCUGGUUUUCAACAGGGGAGGCCUGAAGAAAAAAUGUGUAGUAGAUUCCUGGUAUGGUUUGGCUGUGUGAAUCCCCUCCUGCUUUUUUUCAACUGCAGAAACAAAAGAGAGUGAGUUGCCUAAGAAGAAAGAACCUACUCUAAGCCAUCUCCUUAGUAAUGAAAUUUUAGGAAAAGUAGGUAAAAUUGCAUAUUAUUAAAAGAAAGACUACUACCAGAUAAUUCAGGAGGAAAGAAAUGCUGUUUCUACAGAAGAUGGAUACUUUCGUUACAUAAAAAACGUUAAAAAUAAAUAAAUUCACCAUUGAUGUACUUGUGUUCUAAAGACAACUAGGCAAGUGAAGGAGCAAGCUUGUAUGCUGUAUUGUCAGGAAAGUCAGGACCAUGUAGAACUUACACUGAUACCUAGCAAAUUCUCAAUAAAUGUUGCAGCUAUUAUUAUUAUUUUAUUAUGAAUCAGGAAUGAGGAAGACAGUUGAGUUCAAAUUCCAUCUCAGCCGCUCAUGCAACUCCGAAAGGAUUUUAAAAUCUUUCUGAACCUCUUUCAUCAUCUGUAAAAAAGAAACUGUUGUGAAUGUUACAUGAAAUAACAUAAAGCAUCUGGUACAGUACUGACCUAAUUAUGUGUUUAAUGAAUACUAGCCAUCUUUGUUAUUA